CAGUCGAACGGAAAUUAACUUCGGUUAAUUUUAGUGGCGGACGGGUGAGUAACACGUGAGAAUUCGCCUUUAGGAGGGGGAUAACGGAUGGAAACAUUCGCUAAAACCCCAUAUGCCCCUGGGUGAAACAGAGGAGAUAAGUAAUACUGACUCUUACCUCUGCCUGAAGAGAAGCUCGCGGCUGAUCAGCUAGUUGGUAGGGUAAAGGCCUACCAAGGCGACGAUCAGUAGCUGGUCUGAGAGGACGAUCAGCCACACUGGAACUGAGACACGGUCCAGACUCCUACGGGAGGCAGCAGUGAGGAAUUUUCUGCAAUGGGCGAAAGCCUGACAGAGCAAUACCGCGUGAGGGAUGAAGACUUACUGAGUUGUAAACCUCGGUACCUUAAGGAAGAAGAUCUGACGGUACUUAAGGUGGAAAGCAUCGGCUAACUCCGUGCCAGCAGCCGCGGUAAGACGGGGGAUGCAAGUGUUAUCCGGAUUUACUGGGCGUAAAGCGUCUGCAGGUGGUUUUCUAAGUCUACUGUUAAAUCUUGAGGCUCAACCUCAAAUCUGCAGUAGAAACUAGAAGACUUGAGUAUAGUAGGGGUAGAGGGAAUUUCCAGUGGAGCGGGUGAAAUGCGUAGAUAUUGGAAAGAACACCCGAUGGCCAAAGGCACUCUACUGGGCUAUUACUGACACUCAGAGACGAAAGCCUAGGGGGAGCAAAAUGGGGAUUAGAUACCCCCAGUAGUCCCUAGCCGUAAACGAUGGA
rnacentral:rRNA from 1 species